UUAUGAUUAAUAUGGGAGCAGUCAAAAAGAACAAGAGGUGAGGUAUUUUGUGGGCAGAAAUCAAAUGAAAGAACUUAUGUUUUGAACUGUACCAACUCUAGUUUUAUGCUUUAUUUUGGUAAAUCUAGGGCAUUUCUUCUUAAUCAUCAUUCGUAAAUAUAUGGAGAAAUAUUGAGCAUUAUAAAUGUUUUUGUAAAGUUGUUUAGUAUCAAAUUGGCUUCUAUCCCACUAUCUAGCAUAGUUUAAGCAACAUGUAAUUAUGAAAGAAAAUUUUAUAAUGGCUCUUUUCUUGUUUUGCCUGUUUCUAAAUCCUGUAUGCCAAAGGUAAACAGAGUUUGAGGAUUAUCAAAUUUUUCUCUUUUACUCAUUUCUAAAUCCUGUGUGUCUAGAUAAUGAGGGGCUUAUCAGAGUUUUUGUGUAUGUUUUGGUAUAUUUGUGCUAAUAUAUAUGACUUACUAGAAUGGCUCUUUGCAAAGUUAUUAAUAUUUAAGAAAUACAACAGCUCUGUAAUUUUGGAAGAUUUUAAUAACAAUUAUAUUCUUUCAAUAGUCUCUUACCAGUAUCUCCCAGGGGACGAUGAGCACUAAUGUGGAAACCACAGGGAAAGCGGGGUUGAACAGAAGGGACUCUUAACAGUAUUUUCAGUCUGUUCAUUUCCUUCCUUAAACAGGAGAAAUGGAAGUAUUUUGUUUUACAUUUAUUGGCUGUUCAUGUAUCUCUAUAUUAUUUCAAGUUGAGAUUUAUUCAUGUAUUAGUGUUUCAGUACUGCCUGAAAUUCUAAGGCCUUUAAAUGUGGGACAUAUUGUAUAGUAGAAACCCUGACUUAACACUUUAAAGUGUCUUGUGUAUUAUAACACAUUUUGGAGAGAAAAGCUAAAUAAUUCUGUUGGAUUGUUUCCAAUCCUUUAUUUUGUCCUUUUUAAAUUCAAGUGUUUUGUAUGCUUAGAAAAAAGAUAUAUAUAAUAGCAAGAUUGCUUAUUUCUGAGCUGGAAAUUGGAAACUUUGAAACUCAGGAAAUUGCUCUGACAAU
rnacentral:lncRNA from 1 species